CCUACGGGAGGCAGCAGUGGGGAAUUUUGGACAAUGGGCGCAAGCCUGAUCCAGCAAUGCCGCGCGCAGGAUGAAGGCCUUCGGGUUGUAAACUGCUUUUGUACGGAACGAAAAGGCUCUGGCUAAUACCUGGGGCUGAUGACGGUACCGUAAGAAUAAGCACCGGCUAACUACGUGCCAGCAGCCGCGGUAAUACGUAGGGUGCGAGCGUUAAUCGGAAUUACUGGGCGUAAAGCGUGCGCAGGCGGUUUUGUAAGACAGGUGGAAAAUCCCCGGGCUAAACCGGGGAACUGCACUUGUGACUGCAGGGCUGGAGUACGGCAGAGGGGGAUGAAAUUCCGCGUGUAGCAGUGAAAUGCGUAGAUAUGCGGAGGAACACCGAUGGCGAAGGAGGUCCCCGGGGCCUGUACUGACGCUCAUGCACGAAAGCGGGGGGAGCAAACAGGAUUAGAUCCCCCUGUAGU
rnacentral:rRNA from 1 species